rnacentral:lncRNA from 1 species
GGAAAUUCAGACACAGAUACACACACAGGAAGAGCACCACGUGAAGAUGAAGGGAGAAAUGGGAGUGAUGCUUGUGCAAGCCAAGAGCUGUCAAAGAUUGCCAGCAAACCACCAGAAGCCAGAGGAGAGGCAUGGAGCAGACUCUGACAGCCCUCAGAAGGAACCCACCCUGGCAGACACCUUGAUUUCAGACUUCUAGCCUCCAGAACUGUGAGACAGGAAAUUUCUGUUGUUAGAGCUGCCCAGUCUGUGAUACUUAAGCUCUACCAGAUUAAUACAACGUCACUGAAAUACUCUGUGGGUUAAAAACCAGAAAGUGGCAUAGAGAGAACUGAUGGAGACUUAUUCAGUAGUGCAGCUCUGAAGACUCCUGGAGAUCUUGGCAAGCUUUUCCAUCAACUGCAUCAACCAACAAGCGUUGCUACGUCAAGGAAGAAAGGUAUGCAGAUACAGAGGCGGGGAACAGACAACAAGAACAACAAUGAUGACAUCAGUGACAACAAAAACAGGAUGACAUUAUCUUUCAGGCAUUGCAGACCCAUCUGAGAUGGGUUUCUGCCGGGAGCCGCCCACCAGUCAGCUAAGCCUCUGCCCAAGGGCAAGGUCCGGAAGAGAGAUGAGGGAACGCACGGCGGACCCUCAGAAGAUGGCGGUCGGCCGCUCCUGAUCCUACUUAUGCUACUAAUCUUAGCAAUAUUGCUCUUGCUGUUCUUUUUCUGUACAUGGGAUAUCUUGGGGAAAAUCUCUCCAUGCAGGGGAAAGAAGCUGGUGUAACCUGGCCUUCUAGGGGGGGUUCAGGGGAACAACAGCCUGAAGGGAAAAAACCUUCGGACCCCCUCCUGGAAAGGCGGUAAGGGAGCUUGGACAGCCCUCAAGGAGGAAGCCUUCUAAUAAUCAGCCUCUAAGGAGAGCAUUCCCUCCUCAGGUCCUUCUAGGAGGUAGAUGUUAUCCUAGGCCUGGUAGGACAGAAGGUAAAUGGUGGCACCCACCCAGGGGCAGAGGCAUACAAAAACUACCCCUUCCUAAGGCAACUCACGAUCCUGAUAAAGUUGCAGAAAAAUAUCAUAGUAUAGUAACACAGGGAAAUUGGGAUUAUGGUGAGGUCUGGGAACCCUACAAUACAGUUAAUGGUAAAAGAGAAACCCCAAGCACUGUGCCCGUGUGGCUUGCGAUCAGACGGAGCUGGGGGCCUGUAUGUAUUUUGGUCCCCUUACACUUUGCAAUACUUCUGCUUUCAUUAUUAUCGGAAUAAAGAUAGAGGCUUAGGGCCAUUCGACUCAUGGGGAACUAAGUCUAGACAUUACACCCCGUUUUGUAAUCAGUCUUAAACAUCUAGACGCCUAGUAGAUAUACAGAAAAGGUCAAUAUCUGUAAUUAACAAAGGUUGCUUGCUUCUCACAUACUGUGCUAAUGUUGUAACAAGAUAUGCUUAUGUACCCAUUUUGUUUGCCAAAAUUAUGUACUGAGACAAUUCCAUGAAAUCAUAAGCGCGUGACCUGGACCCUAUAUAAGUGCUUGAAUGCUUUGAAUAAAUCAGACUUGGAAACCUCACUUCCAGUCUCACCGUAACUUCUUUUUUCUCCGAGGCCGUUCAUCCCUCAGGAACCCUACCGGCUGGAGCUGGACUCCGGCAGGUUU